CUUCAAACGAUUUUAUGGGGUAAGUUGGCCGACAGCAAGCACAGGUUUGUGUUCGGGUGCUCCCCCGGCUAUGGGGAGGGGCUCAGGACCCCCCCCUGAGGUCUGGGUUUUGUGAGCCAUGGGGGUAACCCAACAACCAGGCUCUGUGGGCUUCCCCAUGUAUCCCUGCCUGCUCGGAUAGCACCGUGGUGGGCGUCCUGUCCCCUGGGAAGCACCCUGUGCUGGGCUUCAGCCUCACCACAGACAGCACCAUGAGGAUGCCAAAGCUCAGGGGAAGAGGAGGAACCUCCCCUCCUCGCCCCUUCAGAGAACAAAACUGGUCAAGCAUUCAGCUGCAGGAAAAUCCAUAUGGAAGAUUUCCUCUCUCUUUGUUGGUCUGAAGCAACAGAAGUAUUAUCUGCGUUCGAAAGGAGCUGAAGACUGGUGCCAGAGCAGUCACAUCUGAAAGCCUCUCUCAUCUAAGAUUCAAGAAAAUGGCUUCUUGUCUAACAGUAAAUGACAUUAUUAAUUUAUAUGGCAUUUCUGUGCCAACAAAAAGUCUGAAGAAGUGCCAUUUUGCCUUGACGCUGACACAAAGCAGCCCUGACGGGUCCUCCUUACCCUUCCCAAUGGUCGGAGGAGCAGGCAGGCGGCGCUUUGCUGCUCUGCCUAUGGGAAGCUCAGGGUGGUGGAGCCGCUCCCGGCGCCUCCCAGCACAGCACAGCGUUCCCUCCUGGCUCCUGAACGGCCCCAGGUGCAGAGCUGGCCCUGAUGGGGCUCUGAUGGAGCUCUGACACGUGGCCGUGGGAUCCGGGCUCCCGCGUGGCCAAAGCUGCCUUCCCACGGCUGCGGUGCGUGCAAUGCAGAUGGGAGGAGGCAAAAAAGCAUUCCCUGGAAGCGGGCAGCCCCAGGGCCGCCCUGAACGAUGGCACACACCAACCUGUUCCCUAUGGACACAGGGCUGAGCAUCGCCACGUGCUGGGGCUGCUCGCAGUGGUGCCACGCAGCCCUCUCACCCGCUCUAUAGGCUUUGCUGUGUGCUUCCCCCCCCCUUCCUGAUGGAUGGCCAAGCGAUUUGUCUUCGCCGCAGAACAAGAUGCAUAAAGCUUGACAAAUGGCGGGGAGAAGCGUUUCUCACGCCGGAAUAAUUCAGUUUGAUUGGAAUCCUCUGCUGUGCUCCUCUGCGAGCUGCUGCGGGAUGGGAAUCACUCAGUGAAAGGGAGGGGGAGAGAGAGCAGUGGGGCUGGGAAGGGCUGGGGAUGCUGGCACCACCGCUUGCCCGUGGCAUAGGGACAUUCCCACCUGGAAUCCCACCUCAGGGCCAGAUGUGGGCCCUGAGUCCGUGCUGAUGGCAGUUCCUCACCUGGGCACUUUUCUGCCUCUUCACUCGGGCUUUGGCAGUGCUUUUUUAGUUUAAAAUCCAAAUGUCACCCUAAGGCUUGAAUCAAGCGUCUUGCAAAAAAACCUGGGAGGCUAAAUAUAGUUAAUUUGCACUGUAACCUUCAGCAGCC
ensembl:lncRNA